CAGAUAAUAGUUUAAAUAAAACACUGACAUUGGAAGUCAAAAAUCAAAAAAUUUUUGUUAUCUGA
rnacentral:tRNA from 1 species